UAGUCCACGCCGUAAACGAUGAGCACUAGGAUUGGGGGGUCGCGAGACUUCUGAUCCGCAGCUAACGCAUUAAGUGCUCCGCCUGGGGAGUACGGCCGCAAGGCUAAAACUCAAAGGAAUUGACGGGGGGCCCGCACAAGCGGUGGAUCAUGUGGUUUAAUUCGAAGCAACGCGAAGAACCUUACCUGGGUUUGAAAUCCCACGAAUCCCUAAGAGAUUAGGGAGUGCCCUUCGGGGAAUGUGGAGACAGGCGCUGCAUGGCUGUCGUCAGCUCGUGUUGUGAAAUGUUGGGUUAAGUCUCGCAACGAGCGGAACCCCUGUCGUUAGUUGCCAGCAUUAAGUUGGGCACUCUAACGAGACCGCCGGGGUUAACCCGGAGGAAGGUGGGGAUGACGUCAAGUCCUCAUGGCCCUUAUGUCCAGGGCUACACACGUGAUACAAUGGUGGAUACAGCGGGAUGCGAACCAGCAAUGGGGGUGCAAAUCUCGGAAAAGUCCAUCUCAGUCCGGAUUGGAGU
rnacentral:rRNA from 1 species